rnacentral:rRNA from 1 species
UACGAAGGGUGCUAGCGUUGUUCGGAUUUACUGGGCGUAAAGCGUGCGUAGGUGGCUUUACAAGUCAGGGGUGAAAUCCUGGGGCUCAACCCCAGAAUUGCCUUUGAAACUGUAGAGCUAGAGUAUCGGAGGGGAUAGCGGAAUUGCUAAUGUAGAGGUGAAAUUCGUAGAUAUUAGCAGGAACACCGGUGGCGAAGGCGGCUAUCUGGACGAUUACUGACACUCUGGCGCGAAAGCGUGGGGAGCAAACAGG